UAAAAGGCGAUGAAGUGAACAGAGUAGAUCAUCCUAUCUUCUAGAGAGUUCCUGGCUGGUGUAAAGGAUCAGAUAGCGAUUUACGAUUCAACAUGGAGCUGAAUGCUGAAAAGAAAUGAGUAGGCAUAUCCGGGCACACCCGUUAACGUGUUAGAGUAUGAACAUACCAGGUAUGCGUACUUGAUGAGGUCUGUUUCGUGAGGAACAGGCGAAGAAGAGGUGGAACCACGAAGCCAAUGCUCUCGUCCUCUAU
rnacentral:ncRNA from 1 species